AACGAACGCUGGCGGCAGGCUUAACACAUGCAAGUCGAACGCGCGUAGCAAUACACGAGUGGCGCACGAGUAAGUAACGCGAGGAUAUCUGCCCUUCGAUACGGAAUAUCCCCGGGCAACUGGGGCGAAUACCGGAUGGUUCCUUCGGGAUAAAGAUUUAUCGACAAAGGAUGAGUCCGCGUAUGAUUAGCUAGUUGGUGAGGUAGUGGUUCACCAAGGCGACGAUCGUUAGCUGGUCUGACAGGACGAUCAGCCAGACUGGGACUUAGACAGGGCCCAGACUCCUACGGGAGGCAGCAGUGGGGAAUAUUGGACAAGGGGGGCAACCCUGAUCCAGCCAUGCCGCGUGAGUGAUGAAGGCCUUCGGGUUGUAAAGCUCUUGUGGCGGGGACGAUGAUGACGGUACCCGCAGAAUAAGCCCCGGCUAACUUCGUGCCAGCCGCCGCAGUAAUAC
rnacentral:rRNA from 1 species